UUCUGGUCAGCACAUUCGAUAAACUACAGUUGUACAUGGAACUCAUUAAAUCACUUCUUUUUCUUUCAGUGGUCUUCAACUUUUAAUCUCCAAGAAGGAAAUGUAAUUAAAAGAUGAAUAAAGUAUCCCUAAGAAUACCAGAAGAAAGGCUGUGUUGAGAAAAACAGCCCUUCCUCAGUACCUCAGAACUAGAUGAUAGCCCUUGUUACUUUAUGCUGAAUAUGACACAGUAUAGAAGAUCUGAUCAUGAAGAAGUUACACCAUUGAUACACUUGCCAACUGCCAAAACUACUUUCUGAUAGUAUGACGAGAUUAGAAGAUAUCAUGGUGUAGUCAUGACACAAACUGCAAAUCAAAGAUUGUCUUCCCCAGAGGAUGAACAGAGUGCUUCACAUGGAUAACAUUUCCUUUUCGAGUUUUGAAAUUAUCAAACAUAAUUUUGCAUCAAAGAGAAAAAGUGGAUUUGACAUAACCUAGAAAAUACAAUAUUCAUUAAAAAGAGCAUGGCACCAGGAUAGCUAGAUGCCCAUAUUCCCAGCAAAAUGAGCCAGUCCUAAAGAGAGUCCACUAGAGAUGAAAUAAAACUCAUUAAAAUGUAUUGAGAAAAGAUUUGUCAGAAUGUUAUGCAUCAUGAUCAACAGAAAAAAACUUCACAGGUAGACCAAAGCUGACAUGGGAUGAGAUCCUAAAACGAGACCUAGAG